AUUGAACGCUGGCGGCAGGCCUAACACAUGCAAGUCGAACGGUAACAGGAAGAAGCUUGCUUCCUUGCUGACGAGUGGCGGACGGGUGAGUAAUGUCUGGGAAACUGCCUGAUGGAGGGGGAUAACUACUGGAAACGGUAGCUAAUACCGCAUAACGUCGCAAGACCAAAGAGGGGGACCUUCGGGCCUCUUGCCAUCGGAUGUGCCCAGAUGGGAUUAGCUAGUAGGUGGGGUAACGGCUCACCUAGGCGACGAUCCCUAGCUGGUCUGAGAGGAUGACCAGCCACACUGGAACUGAGACACGGUCCAGACUCCUACGGGAGGCAGCAGUGGGGAAUAUUGCACAAUGGGCGCAAGCCUGAUGCAGCCAUGCCGCGUGUAUGAAGAAGGCCUUCGGGUUGUAAAGUACUUUCAGCGGGGAGGAAGGGAGUAAAGUUAAUACCUUUGCUCAUUGACGUUACCCGCAGAAGAAGCACCGGCUAACUCCGUG
rnacentral:rRNA from 1 species